rnacentral:sRNA from 1 species
AUUGUGAAUGAUAGGCUUGAGCAAAAC